rnacentral:sRNA from 1 species
CGCAGGAAAGGAGGUGGUCCAGAAGAUGAGUGAUCUCAGGACUUGCGAGGUGGCCGUCCGCUAGGGCGACGCCAUGCGUUCGCGCGGCUGAGCCCGACGCGAAUACCAGACGGACACCCGGACCCCGGGCUGCCGGAACUCGUCCGACCGGCCCCUCCGCGGAGG